CACAUAGGGCGCGAGCGUUUGUCCGGAAUUAUUGGGCGUAAAGAGCUCGUAGGCGGCCUGUUGCGUCCGCUGUGAAAGCCCCGGGGCUUAACCCCGGGUCGGCAGUGGAUACGGGGCAGGCUAGAGGUAGGUAGGGGAGAAUGGAAUUCCCGGUGUAGCGGUGAAAUGCGCAGAUAUCGGGAGGAACACCGGUGGCGAAGGCGGUUCUCUGGGCCGAUACUGACGCUGAGGAGCGAAAGCGUGGGGAGCAAACAGG
rnacentral:rRNA from 1 species